GAUGAACGCUAGCGGCAGGCUUAACACAUGCAAGUCGAGGGGCAGCACGGGUAGCAAUACUUGGUGGCGACCGGCAAACGGGUGCGGAACACGUACAGAAUCUACCUUUAUCUGGGGAAUAGCCCGAAGAAAUUCGGAUUAAUACCCCAUAAUAUAUAUGAGUGGCAUCGACUUGAAUAUUAAAACUCCGGUGGAUAGAGAUGACUGUGCGUCCCAUUAGCUAGUUGGUAGGAAAGGCCUACCAAGGCGACGAUGGGUAGCUGGUGUGAGAGCACGACCAGCCACACGGGC
rnacentral:rRNA from 1 species